rnacentral:rRNA from 1 species
GAUGAACGCUGGCGGCGUGCCUAACGCAUGCAAGUCGAGCGGUAAGGCUCUGCACAGGUUGUUUGAUCGGAGUUUACUCCUACGCAUCUUCUAGGCUAGAAGGUGUUAUGUAUCGAAUGAUGUGUGUAGAGUACACGAGCGGCGGACGGCUGAGUAACGCGUAGGAACAUACCCCAAAGUGAGGGAUAAGCACCAGAAAUGGUGUCUAAUACCGCAUGUGGUCUUCGGAUUAAAGCUUUAUGCGCUUUGGGAAUGGCCUGCGUUCGAUUAGCUUGUUGGUGAGGUAACGGCCCACCAAGGCGACGAUUGGUAGCCGACUUGAGAGAGUGAUCGGCCACACUGGAACUGAGACACGGUCCAGACUCCUACGGGAGGCAGCAGUGGGGAAUAUUGGGCAAUGGAGGAAACUCUUACCCAGCAAUGCCGCGUGAGUGAAGAAGGUCUUCGGAUUGUAAAGCUCUUUGAUUGGGGACGAAUUAAUGACGGUACCCAA